AGACCCGAAACCCGGUGAUCUAGCCAUGGGCAGGUUGAAGGUUGGGUAACACUAACUGGAGGACCGAACCGACUAAUGUUGAAAAAUUAGCGGAUGACCUGUGGCUGGGGGUGAAAGGCCAAUCAAACCGGGAGAUAGCUGGUUCUCCCCGAAAGCUAUUUAGGUAGCGCCUCGUGAAUUCAUCUCCGGGGGUAGAGCACUGUUUCGGCUAGGGGGCCAUCCCGGCUUACCAACCCGAUGCAAACUGCGAAUACCGGAGAAUGUUAUCACGGGAGACACACGGCGGGUGCUAACGUCCGUCGUGAAGAGGGAAACAACCCAGACCGCCAGCUAAGGUCCCAAAGUCAUGGUUAAGUGGGAAACGAUGUGGGAAGGCCCAGACAGCCAGGAUGUUGGCUUAGAAGCAGCCAUCAUUUAAAGAAAGCGUAAUAGCUCACUGGUCGAGUCGGCCUGCGCGGAAGAUGUAACGGGGCUAAACCAUGCACCGAAGCUGCGGCAGCGAACGUAUCACCCAAGACAACUUUACGGAGUUGGCGAUUGACGGAGCGAAGCGA
rnacentral:rRNA from 1 species